rnacentral:rRNA from 1 species
AAAUUUGAAAUCUGGCCCUUUCAGGGUCCGAGUUGUAAUUUGUAGAGAGUGUUUCGGGUGAGACCACGGUCUAAGUCCAUUGGAACAUGGUGUCAUAGAGGGUGAGAAUCCCGUACGUGACCGUGGAUUGAGCCCAUGUGAAGCCUCUUCGACGAGUCGAGUUGUUUGGGAAUGCAGCUCAAAAUGGGUGGUAAAUUUCAUCUAAAGCUAAAUACUGGCUGGAGACCGAUAGCGCACAAGUAGAGUGAUCGAAAGAUGAAAAGCACUUUGGAAAGAGAGUCAAACAGUACGUGAAAUUGUUGAAAGGGAAGCGCUUGCAACCAGACCUGUCCGUAGGUGAUCAGCCGCUGUUCUCAGUGGUGCACUCGCUCUGCGGUCAGGCUAGCAUCGGUUCCGGCGGUCGGAUAAAGGCCUUGGGAAUGUAGCUCCCUCCGGGGAGUCUUAUAGCCCUCGGUGCAAUGCGGCCAGCCGGGAUCGAGGACCGCGCUUCGGCUAGGAUGCUGGCGUAAUGGUUGC